AUGCAGUCGAGCGAACAGAUAAGGAGCUUGCUCCUUUGACGUUAGCGGCGGACGGGUGAGUAACACGUGGAUAACCUACCUAUAAGACUGGGAUAACUUCGGGAAACCGGAGCUAAUACCGGAUAACAUAUUGAACCGCAUGGUUCAAUAGUGAAAGGCGGCUUUGCUGUCACUUAUAGAUGGAUCCGCGCCGUAUUAGCUAGUUGGUAAGGUAACGGCUUACCAAGGCAACGAUACGUAGCCGACCUGAGAGGGUGAUCGGCCACACUGGAACUGAGACACGGUCCAGACUCCUACGGGAGGCAGCAGUAGGGAAUCUUCCGCAAUGGGCGAAAGCCUGACGGAGCAACGCCGCGUGAGUGAUGAAGGUCUUCGGAUCGUAAAACUCUGUUAUCAGGGAAGAACAAAUGUGUAAGUAACUGUGCACAUCUUGACGGUACCUGAUCAGAAAGCCACGGCUAACUACGUGCCAGCAGCCGCGGUAAUACGUAGGUGGCAAGCGUUAUCCGGAAUUAUUGGGCGUAAAGCGCGCGUAGGCGGUUUUUUAAGUCUGAUGUGAAAGCCCACGGCUCAACCGUGGAGGGUCAUUGGAAACUGGAAAACUUGAGUGCAGAAGAGGAAAGUGGAAUUCCAUGUGUAGCGGUGAAAUGCGCAGAGAUAUGGAGGAACACCAGUGGCGAAGGCGACUUUCUGGUCUGUAACUGACGCUGAUGUGCGAAAGCGUGGGGAUCAAACAGGAUUAGAUACCCUGGUAGUCCACGCCGUAAACGAUGAGUGCUAAGUGUUAGGGGGUUUCCGCCCCUUAGUGCUGCAGCUAACGCAUUAAGCACUCCGCCUG
rnacentral:rRNA from 1 species